GCCGAUUCUUAUUACACAGCUAUAAACCAGGCUCAUCAAAUAAUAGAUCCAACUACAUAUAUCUAUGG
rnacentral:sRNA from 1 species